GGUUCCAUAGUGUAGUGGUUAUCACGUCUGCUUUACAAGGUCCUGGGUUCGAGCCCGAGUGGAACCA
rnacentral:tRNA from 1 species